rnacentral:lncRNA from 1 species
AUGUGGUGGUGCUGGAGCUCCAGGAGCACAGAUCAGCAGAGGGCCCAGCCCAUGCAGAACAGCAGGAACAUCAGUUCCUCCUGUUUCCUUGUGAAAACUGGUGUGAUUCCUCUUGCUGAUGAAGUGGCAAACCCGUCUUCCAGGAUUCCAGCUGGCAUGGUCUCUUGGUGUUCUCUGAGUUCACAUCACUGCUGUCUCCUGGUAAAACGGGAAACAUCUGAAUGGCAUCUCUGCAAGAGCAGAGCAGGCAUGAAGGUUUGUGGAGCACCCUGAGUUCAUGGGAGAGCAUGAGUGGUCACCCCAAAACCCACCACCAGAUGAUAAGGGACAGCAGUGCGAUCUGUAUCAAUCACUCUUGCAAUGAAUGUCCCAUCCUAAACUACCAUUUCUCAGUGGAAGAAGAGAGAAAAUAAAAAUGGCAUCAAAGAAAAUCA